CCUACGGGAGGCUGCAGUGAGGAAUAUUGGUCAAUGGACGAGAGUCUGAACCAGCCAAGUAGCGUGAAGGAUGACUGCCCUAUGGGUUGUAAACUUCUUUUAUAUGGGAAUAAAAUGUUCCACGUGUGGGAUUUUGUAUGUACCAUAUGAAUAAGGAUCGGCUAACUCCGUGCCAGCAGCCGCGGUAAUACGGAGGAUCCGAGCGUUAUCCGGAUUUAUUGGGUUUAAAGGGAGCGUAGGUGGAUUGUUAAGUCAGUUGUGAAAGUUUGCGGCUCAACCGUAAAAUUGCAGUUGAAACUGGCAGUCUUGAGUACAGUAGAGGUGGGCGGAAUUCGUGGUGUAGCGGUGAAAUGCUUAGAUAGCACGAAGAACUCCGAUUGCGAAGGCAGUUCACUGGACUGCAACUGACACUGAGGCUCGAAAGUGUGGGUAUCAAACAGGAGUAGAUACCCUUGUAGUC
rnacentral:rRNA from 1 species